rnacentral:rRNA from 1 species
UGGGGAAUUUUGGACAAUGGGCGAAAGCCUGAUCCAGCAAUGCCGCGUGUGUGAAGAAGGCCUUCGGGUUGUAAAGCACUUUUGUCCGGAAAGAAAUCCUUGGCUCUAAUACAGUCGGGGGAUGACGGUACCGGAAGAAUAAGCACCGGCUAACUACGUGCCAGCAGCCGCGGUAAUACGUAGGGUGCAAGCGUUAAUCGGAAUUACUGGGCGUAAAGCGUGCGCAGGCGGUUUGCUAAGACCGAUGUGAAAUCCCCGGGCUCAACCUGGGAACUGCAUUGGUGACUGGCAGGCUAGAGUAUGGCAGAGGGGGGUAGAAUUCCACGUGUAGCAGUGAAAUGCGUAGAGAUGUGGAGGAAUACCGAUGGCGAAGGCAGCCCCCUGGGCCAAUACUGACGCUCAUGCAUGAAAGCGUGGGGAGCAAACAGGAUUAGAUACCCUGGUAGUCCACGCCCUAAACGAUGUCAACUAGUUGUUGGGGAUUCAUUUCCUUAGUAACGUAGCUAACGCGUGAAGUUGACCGCCUGGGGAGUACGGUCGCAAGAUUAAAACUCAAAUGAAUUGACGGGGUCAUAGCUGUUUCCU